rnacentral:rRNA from 1 species
UUCGAGUGGCGGACGGGUGAGUAACGCGUGGGUAACCUGCCUUACACAGGGGGAGUAACACCUGGAAACAGGUGCUAAUACCGCAUAAGCGCACAGGGCCGCAUGGCCCGGUGUGAAAAACUCCGGUGGUGUAAGAUGGACCCGCGUCUGAUUAGCUUGUUGGCGGGGUAGGGGCCCACCAAGGCGACGAUCAGUAGCCGGCCUGAGAGGGUGGACGGCCACAUUGGGACUGAGACACGGCCCAAACUCCUACGGAAGGCAGCAG